ensembl:rRNA 5S_rRNA 5S ribosomal RNA
GUCUAUGGUCAUACCACCCUGAACACACCCAAUCUCAUCUGAAAUCAGAAGCUAAGCAGGGUCAGACCUGGUUAGUACUUGGAUGGGAGAAAACAAAGAGAUGAGAUU